rnacentral:rRNA from 1 species
UUGAACGCUGGCGGCAGGCCUAACACAUGCAAGUCGCGCGGAUGAAGGGAGCUUGCUCCUGGAUUCAGCGGCGGACGGGUGAGUAAUGCCUAGGAAUCUGCCUGGUAGUGGGGGAUAACGUCCGGAAACGGGCGCUAAUACCGCAUACGUCCUGAGGGAGAAAGUGGGGGAUCUUCGGACCUCACGCUAUCAGAUGAGCCUAGGUCGGAUUAGCUAGUUGGUGGGGUAAAGGCCUACCAAGGCGACGAUCCGUAACUGGUCUGAGAGGAUGAUCAGUCACACUGGAACUGAGACACGGUCCAGACUCCUACGGGAGGCAGCAGUGGGGAAUAUUGGACAAUGGGCGAAAGCCUGAUCCAGCCAUGCCGCGUGUGUGAAGAAGAUCUUCGGAUUGUAAAGCACUUUAAGUUGGGAGGAAGGGCAGUAAGUUAAUACCUUGCUGUUUUGACGUUACCAACAGAAUAAGCACCGGCUAACUUCGUG